UGUAUAUUUAUACAUUUAAAAAUUCUGC
rnacentral:piRNA from 1 species